AGAGUUUGAUCCUGGCUCAGGACGAACGCUGGCGGCGUGCCUAACACAUGCAAGUCGAACGAUAAGUUUCUAACUGAAAUCUUCGGAUUGAUGACUGAAACGGAAAGUGGCGAACGGGUGAGUAACGCGUGAGUAACCUACCUCUUGCUGGGGGAUAACACCGGGAAACUGGUGCUAAUACCGCAUAAUGUCAUAGUAUCACAUGAUACAAUGACCAAAGCUCCGGCGGCAAGAGAUGGACUCGCGUCCAAUUAGCUAGUUGGUGAGGUAAUGGCUCACCAAGGCGACGAUUGGUAGCCGAGCUGAGAGGCUGAACGCCACAUUGGGACUGAGACACGGCCCAGACUCCUACGGGAGGCAGCAGUGGGGAAUAUUGCACAAUGGGGGAAACCCUGAUGCAGCGACGCCGCGUGAAGGAAGAAGGCCUUCGGGUUGUAAACUUCUUUGAUUGGGGAAGAAUAAAAUGACGGUACCCAAAAAACAAGCCACGGCUAACUACGUGCCAGCAGCCGCGGUAAUACGUAGGUGGCAAGCGUUGUCCGGAAUUACUGGGUGUAAAGGGCGUGUAGGCGGGUACGCAAGUCAGAUGUGAAAUUCCACGGCUCAACCGUGGGCGUGCAUCUGAAACUGUGUAUCUUGAGUGCUGGAGAGGAAAGCGGAAUUCCUAGUGUAGCGGUGAAAUGCGUAGAUAUUAGGAGGAACACCAGUGGCGAAGGCGGCUUUCUGACGGUAACUGACGCUGAGGCGCGAAAGCGUGGGGAGCAAGCAGGAUUAGAUACCCUGGUAGUCCACGCUGUAAACGAUGGAUACUAGGUGUAGGAGGUAUCGACUCCUCCUGUGCCGGAGUUAGCACAAUAAGUAUCCCACCUGGGGAGUACGACCGCAAGGUUGAAACUCAAAGGAAUUGACGGGGGCCCGCACAAGCAGUGGAGUAUGUGGUUUAAUUCGACGCAACGCGAAGAACCUUACCAGAACUUGACAUCCUCUGACCGCUCUAGAAAUAGAGUUUCCCUUCGGGGCAGAGUGACAGGUGGUGCAUGGUUGUCGUCAGCUCGUGUCGUGAGAUGUUGGGUUAAGUCCCGCAACGAGCGCAACCCUUAUUGCUAGUUGCCAUCAUUAAGUUGGGCACUCUAGCGAGACUGCCGGUGAUAAAUCGGAGGAAGGUGGGGAUGACGUCAAAUCAUCAUGCCCCUUAUGUUCUGGGCUACACACGUACUACAAUGGUUACUACAAUGGGCAGCAAUACCGCGAGGUGGAGCGAAUCCCAAAAAGUAGCCUCAGUUCGGAUUGCAGGCUGAAACUCGCCUGCAUGAAGUCGGAAUUGCUAGUAAUUGCAGGUCAGCAUACUGCAGUGAAUACGUUCCCGGGCCUUGUACACACCGCCCGUCACACCAUGAGAGUUUGCAACACCCGAAGCCUGUGAGCUAAUCAUUUAUGAGGGCAGCAGUCGAAGGUGGGGCAGAUGAUUGGGGUGAAGUCGUAACAAGGUA
rnacentral:rRNA from 1 species